rnacentral:piRNA from 1 species
GCUGAUGGGAAUGGCCAGCUACUAGUGGAA